rnacentral:rRNA from 2 species
UCCGACCUCAGAUCGGGCGAGAUUACCCGCUGAAUUUAAGCAUAUAACUAAGCGGAGGAAAAGAAACUAACAAGGAUUCCCA